GGAUGAGGCGCCGUUUGUGGAAAACGGAGCGUAGACGCGUGUUUGCAAAGAGCGCUGCGAAGGGAAGGACAGCCUAAUAUUGUUUUGCGAGUGAUUAAAUGGCUACCAGAAGGCGCUGGCCAGUUGCACGCUUGCUUGGAUUGCUCCUGGUCGCCUCAGUCGGUGUGUUUUCGGGGUCAGAGCUCACCUUCACCCUGGAGCCCAGCGACAUCAUCGCCGUGCAGGAACAGCCCCUCAUGCUUCACUGUCAGGUGGACGGGAUCCCUCCAAUCACCACGCAGUGGAGGCGGAACGGCAAGCUCCUGCUGGAGGGCCCAGGAUGUGCCAUGUUCGCCAACGGCUCGCUGCUGAUCAGUCAUUUCCAAAAGACUAAGCUGGACGGCUCUUCCGAUGAGGGAGACUAUGAGUGCAUGGCCCAGAAUCCCAUUGGGCUGCUGGUCAGCCGUAAGGCGAGGCUACAGGCUGCAACGAUGGCUGAGUUCCAUGUGCAACCCCAACCGGUGAGGGCCGAGGAGGCCGGCGUGGCGCGAUUCCAGUGCCAAGUCCGUGGGCUGCCGGAACCCCUCAUCAGCUGGGAGAAGGAUGGCCGGCCAGUGGACACCCAGGGCGGGAGGUACACACUGCUGCCUACAGGGGUUCUGCAGAUCGGCGGGCUCAGCCUGGACGACAGUGGCGUGUACCACUGCGUGGCUCACAACAGUGCCGGCAUCAGGCGCAGUGCAGGGGCCCGGCUCACUGUCACAGGCUCCAAGGCUUCCGUCUACAAGGAGCCCACGAUCGUGGUGGGUCCAGAGAAUCUCACGCUCACAGUUCACCAGACAGCCAUCUUGGAGUGUGUGGCCACCGGCUACCCACAGCCCAUCGUGUCCUGGAGCAGGCUGGAUGGCCGCCCAAUUGGGGUAGAGGGGAUCCAGGUGCUGGGCAACGGGAAUCUGAUGAUCUCCGAUGUCGGGGUGCAGCAUUCGGGAAUCUACGUCUGCGCAGCCAACAAGCCCGGGACACGCGUGCGGAGGACUGCGCAGGGCCGGCUGGUAGUGCAAGCCCCCGCCAAGUUUGUCCAGCCGCCACAGUCCAUUGCCCGGCCUGUGGGCACCACGGCUGUCUUUACCUGCCUGGCCCAGGGCGAGCCCUUGCCCCAGCUCACAUGGCUGAAGAACGGGCAGAUUCUGGAGCCAGGGGGACACGUCAAACUCAGGAACAACAACAGCACGCUCACCAUCUACAGCAUUGGCCAGGCGGACGAGGCCAUGUACCAGUGCAUCGCUGAGAACAGCGCCGGUUCAGACCAGGCUAGUGCGCACCUUGCCGUGCUGUGGGCCGACGGCCUGCCGGGGGCGCCCCGGGGCGUGCAGGCCCAGGCCCUCUCCCCCACGGCCAUCCGGGUGUCCUGGAGGGAGCCAAGCCAGGUCACACAGGACAUCAUCGGCUACGUGCUUCACAUCCGCAAGACAGCAGACUCGCUGGACAUGGAGUACCAGGAGGCCGUGGGAAAGAGCAUGCUGCAGCAGGUGCUCAGCGACCUGCAGCCCUCCACCAGCUACACCUUUUACGUGAAGGCCUACACCUCCCGGGGGGCCAGCAAGCCCUCAGACACGGCCGUGGAGAGCACACUGGGGGAAGUGCCGGCGCCCCCAUCGCUGCACACGAGGGUGGUGGAAGGGAGCACGGUGCAGGCUGUGUGGGAGCCAUCGGGCAAGAUGGGCCAACCCCAGGGAUUCAAGCUCUUCUACCGCAGGCUGCCCUCGGCCACCUUCACGGGGCCUCUGACUUUCGGCCGCAACAUCACACAGUGCAAUAUCACACAGCUGGAGCCGGCCUUUGUGUACGAGCUGAAGCUGCUGGCUUUCAACCAGCACGGCGACGGCAACGCCACCAUGCGCUUCGUCUCCCUCAAGGAGGCCGUGGAGAAGUCAGUGCUAGACCCCCCGUGUGACUGCUUGAAGGACGAGCAGAGCAAGGCUUCCACCACCGGCAUCAUCGUCGGGAUCCAUAUCGGUGUCACCUGCAUCAUUUUCUGCGUGCUCUUCCUCAUGUUCGGUUACAGGGGGAGGUUGAUGAUGUGCAAGACCAUGCAGGAGCAGCUGGCCACGCCCCCAGAGGUUCGCAGUGACGCCCUGGAGCCUCCCACGUACCACGGCAGCCUGUCCCUGAAUGGGGCAGUCCCAGAACCCAACGGGGCCAUUCCAGACAAGACAGGCAUGGACAGUAAUGAGCUGGGGAGAGUCUUCCCCAGGGACUCGCUAAAUCAGACACACAUGAUGGCGGGCGCACAAGUGUCACACACUCCGGAUGAAACGCAGAUCUCUAUGCUGCCGUUGGAGGAUUUCAGCCUGGCCGAGGAGAGUGAGAGCAAAUUCGGAGAGUCCCUGGAGGAGGCCAGUGAUCCGUACGGCCAACCGGAAGAGGGGUGACGGGGUCUGUUUGUGACACUGCCACACCAAAUGCUGCACCUCUGUUGGGACUGUUCUCAGGUUAAUGAGGACGCAGUGUAGACCUACCUCAGCCAGAAGGAAUGUUUGGUGGGAGGCUUUUCCCGUCUUCCCACAUAUUCUGUUAGGCAUCAUAGUUCAGAGAAAAAAAGCAAACGCAUUCAGCGCACUACCUCACACUUCUAGAAACACGCACUCGCUUGUUCACCGAAGCAAGGGGAAAAAAGAAUCCAACGUAAAGCACUUCCAAACACUGAACUUAACAUUCUACCUCAAGACAAUGUUGCAGUUGUCGUUUUCGCUGUUCUUAUUAUUGUUGUUGUUGUUGUUCUGACUUGUCGUCGUCGUCACUAUUACACCUCUACUUCUGCGGUGAGGCCCAGUCACUUUGGGCACCAGGCUCAGAAGCAACAAAUCAUGUUUGAGGACAGUAUUUUGUAGAUGGGCCCUUUUCUUGCAUUUUUUUUUUUAGUUAACAGAUCAUUUUAAUUUAAUUCUCUUUAAGUUUAGUUCUGGCUUCUUUUUUGAGUUACAUUUGAGUUUGGUUGCUUCUAAUCACUACAAAAAAAUUGCAAGCAGUUAUAAGACAUGGUUAAAAUGGUAUAAAUCAAUUGUUAAAAAACACUGCUAAACAGUAUCCUGGAAUACACAUAGUCCGGGUAUUUACGGAUGUGUGUAUAGCCCUUUUCUGACAGGAUUUCUUUUACCUAGGGAGGUUUGGUAUGUCGUAUGUGGAAAACUUAGUAACCAUUCAAGCUCCAUUUUUCACGUAUAAAUGCUGUUUCCGCCUUACAAAAAAGAGGCAUGCCUUUAUAGAUUUAUUACCGUGAUGACAAUUCAGACAGGACUACUAUUACCAAAAAAGCUCCUCCUUCGCUAAAAUACAGAAUGUAAUUCGCUCCUGAAUUUUUCCUCUGGAGGCUUGUAAUACUUACAGACAUAGCAGAUACAGACUGGAUUGAAAUUAUGGACCUAGUCAGUAAUUGCUUCAAUUACAGUAUAUCCCCAGGUAGAGCUAAUCCUGUCCGAAUUGCGCUUAUGAAGCGUGUGUCAAAGGCUGCAAUAUGUUUGUACGCAGAGGAGGGGGUUUGAAGCACACAUUUAUUUUUGAUUUCCCAAUGAGCAACAGUUGUGUCUUUGAGAGGUGGAUCAUGGGAAAUGUAGUUAUUGUCCAUCCCUUUGCAUAUAUGCAGACAUACUGUCACAUGUAGACAACGAAACAGACAGGUGCAUAUGCACGCAGAUGUGAUCAGCCACAGGAACACACAAACGCGCGCCCACACACUUCCGGCAUGUAGAGAAACCAUGCUGUGUUAACCUACCUCAGCUUAAUGCCCGUGUUACCAGGUGAGUGAUUCAGGAAAACAUCUCAAACUAUUAUUUAUGCAUUUACUCCAAAAUGUGAAUGUGAAGAUGUGUCUGUUCAAGACCAAACAAUUUGUGAAGUGCAGUUAUAUUUUCGCUGUUUCCAUAUUUAGCUUGAAUAUGAAUGUAUAAUUGAUUUUUUGUUUAUUAUUGUUAUUAUGCCUGUGGUGUUUCUGAUCUGCCUUGGGUAACUGGUGCCGGGUUAUUAAAAAUUACACAGCAGAAUGUCCACCUUUUUCCCAGCAUGGUAAAUAAGGCACAAAGACUGUGUGAUUUCAGCUUUUCUGUCUGUCUGGUUGUUGACAGAGGGAUGUCUGCAACCGGCAGGGGACGUCAGUUUAGACUGAACCGCAGUGCAUAGCGCUACAUUGGCUCCCGUUAUAAUAGCUGUUCCCACUGUUUGUCCCUGAGCCGUACCCAGUCAGUUUACUCAGUGUGUCUAAAUGAACUGAAAUCCUUUUCUUGGGAUGUAGACGAGUGAAGUGUUUGCUGUGGUCAAUCCAUUCAUAGAGAUGUUGUAGGGUGUCGAUUAAAGCUGCCUAUGGCUCUUGUGGCUGUUAAUAUGAUCAUAUUUGGCCUAUUUUUGUACAGUUGUGAUGCAUAUUUCAGAGAUUUAUAUAUAUAGAUAUAUAUAUAUAUAUUUAUUUCACCACCAUCUUCGUCUGGGUUACAGGAGACAGUUGCCUGUGUCACCUUCCAUUCGCCAUGAAUUCACAGCCAGUUUUUUUCCCCCAGUUUGCAGAUCUGUCCAUUAUUAGCUCCAAUAUAUCGGGGAACGUCACACACAUGAAACAGAAAUUUAUCAUCCAUGUAGCAGUUGUGUGAAGACAAGGUUGAUUUGUAAUUUUUUACUUUUUCUGAAGUGACAUAUUUAAAGUACUGCAUCCUGUUGUUCAGACACUGCUGUGGAACCCUCUUAAUUACGAGGAGGUACUUCUCAGGCUAGAGUUACUGAAUUUACUGUUUAUCCCGCAAGCCUGUGGUGAAAAUUUCUCCUUGAAUGAUGACCCUGAAGGAGCUUUGGGCUUUGCCCUCUUCCUGGCCUCCUAUGAGCUGACUAACUGGGAUGCAGAUUUGCGUUACGAAGGAGCCACAUACGUCUGUUACUGGGUAGGGGAUGGAAGGAGCUUCGGGUUGAAUCGAAAUGAACUCUCCGUCAGCUGAUUCUCUUCCUCUUUUUGUGAAUGGGCUUGUUUUUGCUGUAGGUCAAGAAACUCGAGAGCAAUGUGGCCUGGGGAUAAUCUGAGCCCUGGUUACCCAUUGUAUCCAGCAGGCUUCUGAGAAGUCAGUAGAACAACCUAGGAGGACAGACACACAAGUUCUGUCAAGAUUACAACUCAAAAACUGCAUUACAGCUUUCGGUAAAAGCUCUUCCAGCGAUGACUUGCUGUCAGUCUCAGAAGUGGUGCCAUGGUUAUUAGAAUGUUACUAUGUGGCUGUGAAAGAACAUUUAUAGAGCUUGUCUUCUGUUGUCAUGUUUUUCUGAGGACUGCUUAAUUUCACACACUGUUUGGCUUAAGAUGUGUGAUUUGAAUGGUCCUCAUAUAUAGCUGUCUGGCUGUCUUUCUGCCAGUUUGAGUAAGUAUUUAUUGUUAAUCUUCAAUAUGUAUGGAGUUUCAAUCAGGACUACCAUAAAGUCAUCUUUGAGGAGCUCAAGAAAUGUAAUUUGUUAAAUUAACAUUUUUAUGACCCUAGAAAAUACUCUCCCCAUCCAAAGUUUCUUGAUUAACGUUGAGGAGGCCUUAGGAUAGUGAGUCGGCCGAAUGGUACCUUAUACACCUGACUGUCCGUUGAAGGCUCUGCAGGAUUACAGUACAUACAGGUCAACUUUAACUAUGGUAAGCCUAAAUAAUAGGCUAAUGUCACAGAAUAACCCUGUCACCAUCCCACCCUGGUCAGAUUCUUCUCAAAGCAGCUCUUCCUCUGGCUUUGUGUGACUGCCGCACUGUUGUGUGGAGGGUGUCUGGGGGGUCAGUCUGUGUGUGACCUCCAUUAUUGGCUUUACGAAGGGGGCACUGAGCUCACGCAUCUGCUAGGAACCAGGUUGUUUUGGAGUUACACUCCUGUGCUACAGGCUUAUAGAGUGAGCAGUGAGCGGAAAUCAGGAGAUAGCAUGCAGACAACAGUUUUAGCAUCCAGUUCCAGAAUCAGGGGCGUUGAGAACGCGGGACUUUCCAGAAGGUUUUAUCAGGGUAUCUGGUCUCCAUAACUGUUCUUCCUGUUUCAGUAUUAAGCGUGACUCAGUCGAAUCCGAUGAUUGUUGUUGCAGUGUUUGUUGACUUGCGUGCACACAUACAGGUAGCAAUACUAUGGUUCAGUGAUUCCAUGUUAAUCUUUCUUUAUUGUGUUUAUUAGGACCUACCAAGUAACUGUCCGGUGUCCUUCCCAGUCACUGCUUCCUUUGAUUAAAGGUACCAUUUGUUCAUGGAGUUGUCAGGCUGAUCCCAGGUCAGCACAGCCUUGGUAAUUUAAGUGCCACCCACAUGAAUCCUAAUGUCUGUAUAUAUGUAUGAAAAAAUAGACACUUCAAGUAGUUUGUACUGUUUUAGCAUUCAUGUGCAACAAUAAUGAAGGAAAUAUGAAAACAAUAAACUAG